AAGCCAGUGAUGAAAUUAUUUUACAAGUUGGAAUUACCGUCUGAUAUAAUCAAUUCUGAUGAUAGACUCUCUUUCUGAGGCAUUCC